GUAGUGCGGUGGAAUAUUUGUGCCACUCGCAAUGUCGCCCCGCCAAACCUCAUUAUAGCCGAAGACCACGAAUUGAAAAAAUACAAGGAACUUACUGGAAACAAUGUAUACCUAUACCUGGAAAUAAUGUCAGACUUAAUCCGCCCUAGUUGGCAUUACAUGUCGGAAAAAUUGAACAACCAGCUGGGCCCUCCACGUCCCUAGGGGAAAACGUACGUUAAUGAUUUUCAAAUUAUACUGCUAUACUGGAAGAGGGAGCAUGUGAAAAACAAUUUGCUACGUGUGCCUCAAAACAUCCCCAAUAUAAAGCUUGAGUUUGGUCAAAGAAACAUGAACAGGCAACAUUAUAUUUCUCUAUCUACCGACAAAUUAUAACCAAUGGCUGGAAUUCGCGGAUAAGAGGUACGUUGCCAAGAGUUGGAAAGGGAUGAUUCUGAACAGAAGGGAGUAAAAGUUAAUGUGCAAACACAUGAUGGAAACAUCUCUUUAAAUGAAGCCAGCAGAGACGAAGAAAAUAUCAUACACUUCAGUGGAAAGUGUCGCCUCACCAUUUCUUCAAAAACUGCUGAUGUGCCAAACAGUCACUGAAAUUCCUGGUUCUGCAAAUGUUUCCUUUUGAUUUUGGGGAGAAGGGCUAGAGAACACCAGCUUACUGUCAUCGAUAUCAUGCUGUCCUAUCACG
rnacentral:lncRNA from 1 species